AGCCCUCAGCGGCGGCUGUAGCGAUGUGCCGCCGUGCCAGAGCGGCGCGCCGCGCGGGUGCGCUGGAGUGGCUCAACUGUUGCAGCAUCACGGAAGCAGUCGGGUUGGAAAAGAUCUCUGAGAUCACCGAGACCAACCUGUGAACGAAUCCCACCAUGUCAACCAAAACGUAGCAAUGAGUGCCACAUCCCGUCUUUCCGUAAACAACUCCUGGGACACUGACUUAGCCACCUCUUUGGGCAGCUUUUCUAUGAAGAAAUUCCUUCUAAUGUCCAACGUAAGCCUCCCCGGCACAGCCUGAAGCUGUUCUCUCAUCCUGCCACUUGCUACCUGGGAGAAAGAGACCAACCCCUGCCUGUCUACAACCUGCUUUCGGCCAGUUGUAGAGAGUGGAAGAAAAAUGGGAAAGCAACCAGCCCAACUUUGCCAGUUCACUAGGGUGUCAGCUAUGACCACCAAGGAUCACCAAAGAGACCCCCAGGAAAGAAGAACACAUGGAUAGAGGGGAAGGAGCAUAUGUUAAUGACUUCAGAGAAGUUAUUCUCAAAUCUGUGUUUCUUCUAGGAAAAACUAUCAAUAUGUAAGUAAAAUAGAGUAUAUAAACUAGAGCUUUCUCUGUACUCAGCAUGGAUGAGAUUUUGGAGGAGAUAUCCCCUCAAGCAUCCAGCUGAAGAAGGAAUUCUGGCUUCUUAAUGCUACAUUUAUGUUAAGGAGUUUUUAUUUUUUCUGAUUUUUGGUAACAGGCCCCAGCUGGACACAGGACUCAAGGUGUGGCCUCACCAGUGCUGAGCACAGGGGGACAAUGCCUGGUGCUGCUGGCCCCACUGUUUUAUGUGCAGAUUGUCAUUCCCCACAUUUGUCCACUGACUCGCUAGAGGUGGCUGUGUGGAAGGUUUUUGAAGCCUUUCAGUAACUUCAUCCCGCCACCAUUUCCAGCUGGCUUCAUCUGUGCCCAGUGGCCACUGAGAGCAGAGACAGCCCUCUGGGCCUCCUGGGUGUGGGGAGUGAUGCCUUGGGGCCAGUUAAUAGUGCCCCAAGAGCUGCCCAUGGGGGUUGCCCAUGGCACCACCCAGCAUCACAGGAAGCCCCCAUCCCUGCUCAGAGAAGGAGGCGCUCACUGGAACUGUGGACACUGGGCUUACUGGUACUCAUCCUCUCUCCACCUGCCCCUGUCCUGCUGGGCACAGGCACUGGAUGGCAUCACAGGAGUUGUGAAUCACAGUGGGAAUGGGCCAUGAAGGCCCUGGUAGCAUUCCUGUAGGAGCAGAAGGGCACUUAGUGGACAUGAUGAGCAUUCUGCUGGCACUGUGGGAAGCAGGAGGGCGUUGGCCAGAGCUUUGCAGAGGAGAGGGAGGGCACUGACUUAUUCCUUGCCAUGUCAGCAAGGUAACACUGAAUCAAACUGAUCAUUCAUAUCCCAGCUCUUGAGAUAGCCAUUGUUCUUUGAAGAAUUUAUGACCCUGGAGCCUCUCAUCUAGAUGCUGCACAAAGCUUGCUGCCUUUGUGCCCAGCAGCUGGCUGUUAUUUAAUUUCCCAAACACAGAUACCCAGGUCUAGUAACACAAUUUUCUGACAGCAUCAAGUUGCUCCUUGCUGUUCUUUGUGCCCUUUGAUCCUCCAAGGUGCACUGCAAUCCUUGCUCUCUUACCUAGGAAACUUGGAUAGCCUGAGGAGGGCAUAAGUUUCAGAGGACUGCUACUGCCCUGCAACUCUCCUGAAGGUGUCUGCAUUUCCUUCAGCUGCUGCCAUUUGGAGAGCUCUCCAACUGAGAAAACAAAUAAUCUUCUCUGCACAAGCAGCAGAUUCUUGUCCCAUAGCCACUGGUAGAAAACUGUCCCCUGUGAAGUAGUCCCUACAAUGCUGACCUUUGGGGGAUCUCUGCCUUCCUGAAUGCCUGAGUGUGCCAUCCGGGGAAAGCUUCUGUUGUCUGAGCUUCUGUAGUUCUCCUAAUUCAGCUAAUUUACCUUCUGUUGUCCUCUCCCUUCAGCUCCGCACCUUAGCUGGUGUGAACAGCCACAGCAUUUUCCCUGUUUGUUGUUCCCAGUGCUGCUCAGUUACUGUCCUUUACUUCUGUCUGGGUCUGGGAAAGAUCUGGCCUUGCAGCUGCUACACUUUCUAUACUUACCUGUGUUCUCCAUCUGCCCAGCCACUCUGCACAAAACUGCCAGACUGACCUAAUCGCUGUCAUUCCUGAAUGACACUAAAGGCUUUCUCUUUAGACUACUGACAUGGAAACACAUCAUCUUUUGUUUGAGUCCCAAAUGCAGCACAAGAAUCUUCACAACAGAAGUCUUGAAGCCCUUCUACAGGACAGGCAAAACUACAGCAAGGGCACUGUAGUUUUGAAACCCCCAAACCAAUUUCUAUGUAUCCACUUACUCUGAGGGGAAAGGACAAGGGAACACAUGUGGAACUCAAAGUCAGAGCUACAUAAAAGUUAUGGAAUCCUGUCUUUACUCCGUUUACUCUGGAGCACAGAAAGUAUUAUUUAUUGGUCUAGAAAGUGUAGAGAUGUGCUCAGAGUACCCAGCUACUCAGCUUCAGGAGUUUGCUGUCACUCUGUGUUCUCUCAAAGACCUGGAUGCAUAAGCCAUCUAGCAACAGUUUUUGUCCUUAAGAGUUUCUCAAUGUUGACAGAAAAAUUAUCAGAUCACUCUUUGCAACCACUUGCUGUCCUGCAAUACAAAUAUUAGAGACCAGAGAUUGGAUGUUUCUUUCACACCUACAAGCAGUUUUUGGAAAUGAAGAUGUGAAGGAAAAUCCUGACAGCCAAUCAGCCAAACUGGAAGGUCAACAUACUGAAAAUAAAUCUUCUAAAUCAAUGGGUUUUUUUGAGGAGCUGGAAUUAAUGACCAGCCACCUGCUCUGCCUUAAGGCAUCCCUGGGGUGCAGCACUACCUUCAGACAGGUUGUCCAGUGCUGUCUUCUGUCCUUUAGAUGGUAUUUCAGCCUCUACAACUACAGCUCAAGGCUAGAGCUAGACGCUCUGCAACAGUUUUGAACCAUCAUCAAUAACCACAGCCUCAAAGAUACUCCACAUUCCUGCAGGCACUGGCGAAGUGCUGGGAAGCAAACUGCUGCACAUCCCUUCUCCCUUUUCCCUGGCCUCCAUGUGCCUUCACUCCCACUUCCCAGUGAUUUAAUCCAUGAUACCAGCCAUGCAGGCCUGGGUGGGUUGAAAGCAUAAACAAGAAUAAAACUGAGAGUUAUUAAGUUUCACAAAAUGGGUAGGAGGGUUGCCGUGCUGUCCUGGAAUUUGGAAGUUGAGAUGGAAUUGCGACAGUCUUGCUCCAUAGCCUGACUCAAGUGUUGCCUUGGAGUUCCACAAGCUUAAUGAGGAACUUGAGACAGAAGGAUUUGCCCUCCUCAGAUCCACUGCCUAGUCUGCAGAAUGGGGAAAAAGAACUUUUCUUGCUCCAAAUCCACAUAAAAGGAUCUGCAGUAUAUCAUAUGGAGAGGAAAUACCCAUUCAAAUGCACCAGUUUCUUCUGCUCAUCUUGUACCGCUAUCUGGGUGUCCACAUCUGGUUGAUUCAAAGACUGUGAAGGGCUCUGAGGGAUAGCCACAAAAAGUUUGAAAGCAUGGAGGUGCCAGUCUGUGUGCAGAGCUGUGCUGGGUUUGUUAUUUCCAGCAGUGUCUGUGACCUAAGUGAGCAAAUUCGGGUGUGCAAUGGCUCUGGGUCUUUCAGAAUUUAAUUCUUUCAGCUUUAUUUUCCAUCACUGACCUUUGCUUUAGAUCUGCUAAAGGUUUCCCAGUGGACUACUGUCUGGGGAAUCUUCAUUGAGACUUGUGAGCUUGUAUAUUAAUGACAGGCCAUUUGCUUGCUAUUGAGUCCUGAAGGCUGUAGUGGCUGGAUGUUCUUUGAGUUCUUCUUGCAUAAAUGCUCAUGGCUGAUGCAUCUGAAGGAGGUAUGAUUUAGUGAUCCAAAUGGUUCCUGUUUUUAUCCUGCCAUAUUCCUGGGAGUUCAGUAGGAGUGGAUGGUUGUGUGUCAUGAAAUGCACAGAUCUCUUGAGGAGGGAGUAGUGCCCUAGGAGGAGAAGGCACUGGCUUAAGUGCCAGGCUAGCCCCACUCUCCCAGAGCUUUUGUUAUGACUUCAGAACUACUUUCAAUCUAAGCUUAUUGGGGAUUUAGGCUGAUCAGUAUCCACCACAGGUAUAACAAAGAUGACCGUGUUUAUCAUUAUUAUUACUAUUUGAAUGUGCUAAAAGCCCAUCAGAGCAUUCCCUUUCCAAACAUCCAAGGGCAGUGAGAAUGUCAAGUGACAGUUUGUAUUCACCAAGCAGGGAUCUCCUUACUACAAUGCAGUGUUUGGUCUGUCAGUAAAUGGAAAUGACAGGCAGAAAUAUAGUUUCUGCAGUGAUUUCAGAUAUUGAAACAUUACAGCAAGACACUACAAGAUUGUAAUUUCUGAAUAUCUUGCAAUGCAGAACCUGCACCCAGGGACACUGGUUUUCUUUAUGCAUUAGUAAAGUAGAUGACCUACCAAUGCAGCUAUUAACAUUUCCUGCCCUAAAUCAGUCAUCCUUCCCUGCAUGUAGUUUUACCUAUAUACUGCCAGAAGUUCAAUAUUUCUAUUUAAUUUUUUGAUACUUAACGGGAUUCUUUUACCAUGAGCUGGUGUCAGGAUUUAUGGUGAGAAAGUUCAGUCCUACAGAGAUGAGCUGAAGGUAGGCAGCAACGUUUGUGUCUUGGCAUUAAUGAAGUCUAUUAAUGUACACUUGCAGGCAAGUGCCAUUCAUCCUAUUUCUUUAUUGCUAUGCAUUCAGUGUACUUCCAAGAAAGUGCUUCUGUAAAAUCACUGCUUCCAAUCAAGAGCUCAGAAGCAAUCCUAGUUUAUAGCAGUCCUGGUUUCACACAAAGUCAUGAGAAAAUAUUAUGAGAGGAAAUGGAUAUCCUGAGUCCAACCCUACAGGGUGAUACGGAUUCCCAGGACACCCACAAGUGUUUUCCCCUGCUGUUGAUUGCACUGCUUGCAGGACUCUCGACUGCCAGCAGCUCAACUUUCAACUCUUGGGGUUUCAGGGUAAAAGUAAGAGGAAGUUUUUGAUUUUGAGUAUUCUUGCAGGAAAGUAUAGUAAUCUGGAGGAAAGAAAUGUUUCAGACAUCUUGUCAUAUGCUGUGUUCCAGUGUAUUGUAAAUAUAACUGUCUAUAACUGAAAUUAAACUGCAAUGUUUACAUCAAAAAAUGCCAUAUAUUUUACCUAAAAGCAUUAUGUUCCAAUGCUUUUUCAAGAUCUUAGUUGCAUUUUGAAAUUCAAGUGAUUUUGUUCUAAGGUGAGACUUGCAAGAGGGUGAAAAUUCCAUUUGCUAUACAAUUCCAUGCUGUGUAACUCCCUAGUGGUUUGACCUAAGGACUUGUGCAAGUCAUGAAAUAAGGGUUCAUUUUCUGCUCUGUGAAUUUUUCAAUUCUGAUGGCUUUUGUUCCAGAGGAGAACAAGUGUGGUGUGGUAACAAGUGAGGUCAUUAAUGUCUUAGGCAGCUCUGUGAGUGGAAACGGACAUGCAGAAUGCGUGGGCAGUUGACUAUCUUAAGUCAGUUCACAACAAGCACUGACGCAGAAAUGCAGUCACUGUGGGUUUGUGCAUUAAAAGCUGGUUUUAGGCAAGGCAGAGUAUUUCACAGGUGACAGCACCUCCUGGUUGUUACCAUUCUCUGUUCUUCCCAUUCCCUCCAGUCUCAGUUUUGGAAGACAGGUGUCUGCUAGGGAGGGCAAAAGCCUCCCCUGGAAUGAAAAUGUAGACCACCUCCCUCCGAAUUAUUAUAAUUCUGAAAUCAAGGGGCUCUCAGGCAGAGGAUGGUGAGAUCUUGGGCUAGUGGAUGAGGUGUAUCAGCAGCUCCACGGCGGUGCCUGGCACUGCCACACGUCCCGGCAGGACAGGGGGUGCGAGGCCACCAACAAAGACGGAAGAAGGAGAAGCAGCAGCAGCUCUGUCUGGGUGAUGGCGAAAUUCCCUUCUCCUCACCGCAACACCUCCGCGCCCAAAGUGUCCUUCUCCGAAGCUGAAGAAAGCCCGCCAAACUGUCCCCACCCUUCUUUUUUUCUGCCCCCUUCCCCCUCUGGGCCCAGCCGAUCUCCUUAUGUUUUCUCCAGCACUCACCAAGUACCCGCAGUGCGGUGUCCCCGGAACUAAUGGGUAAAAAUUCCACAGGUGAGCCAGAACUAAAAAGAGGACACAUAAGCCCCAACACCCCAUUUGUAGCAACCACCCGUUCUUCCAACUUCCCACCACCCUGCCCACUGUGGCCAAACCCUCCUUCUCUUACAAAGCAUACAGUCACAGCUAUAUGCUGUCAUACCUGUGAUAAACAGAGACUCUUUUGUUCGACUAAACAUGAUGUUCUGUAAUGCUAUGUUGUGUAAAAUCACGAUUACAUUGAAGGUUGAUACUGACGCUGGCAUAAUUAUUAUGGCCUUGCUGAGAUUCUUUGAAUUCCAGAAAGCUGCCGCGAUUAAAACCUCCGAAAGGGGUAGAAGGUCAGAGGAGGAAGAAUCUUGUGAUCACAAGAGGGCAGAAGGAGACCAGGAAAAAACCCCUGAAGGCUGGAAGAACGCAGGCGCAAAAAGAACUCAGGAAAAUACUCAGCAGAAGAGCCAAACAGAUAAAAGGGAAUGCGGGGGGGGCACGGAGACACGGCCAGAAGUGGGUUACUUUUUGGCCGUCAGCGCGCUGUGAUUUGCUUAUUAUCUUGCUUGCUAUAAUUAAUAAAACUUUUCUUUAAUCAAUUUUAA